AUAUUACUGUAAUUGGUGCAUAUUGUUGGAACAUUUAACAUGUUGGUAGCAUUUGUUACGGAAUAAAUUUUGAAAGGACAUUGCAAAAGUUGUCCCAAUUAAGUUUGGAGGGUAGGAUUUGUUCCGUAGGAUAGGAAUUUUAUCUGUUUGGUUGGGGGGACAAUUGCAAAGGAUAAGUGCAUUUGUUUAAUGUGCUUCGAAUUUUGUGAUGAUUUGCCUUCCAACUUGUUUGUGUUUUUAGAGAGUGGAUAAGGGCAACAAAGAAAUUGGAGGGGGUUGUUCUCCCUAGUUGUACAAUAUAAGUUUAUUCCUCCAAAAUGGUGGAAUAGAAUUAUACCUCUCAUCUACCUGUCCUGUGUUAGGGCAUGGCUCCACUCCAAGUGCCCAAAACAGCAUUUGGCAGGAUAGAAGCACAAAGUUGGGUUUUUUCCGGUGGUGGUGGUUGUGUGCGUGCGUGUUGGUUUCAGGAACCUUUGUUCUGCCCAUUCAACAGGGCCUAGCUUAAUAUAUCAAAGCCACAAACUAGUAGCCAAUAAAACUUUAUGAUGUUGGCUGACAUGAAACA
rnacentral:lncRNA from 1 species